AAGUCGGAACAAGGUUUCCGUAGGUGAACCUGCGGAAGGAUCAUUAACACGUAUCCAACGUUAAAAACUCCGUGCAUAUUAACCCUGCUCUCUUCGGCCUUGAUAAGCAAUCUCUGGUAAAUCACACAGAACAGUUUGAUUCAGCGGUAGAGCAAAUAGACUUGGUUUCCGAAAGGAUAACUGAUACUUACUCAGAUCGUUGCCCUCGGUCAACGGACAAGUCUCUGGGGCUUCGGCUCCCUUCUAUUUAACCCCUGUAUGUGAAAGUCGGCUUGCAAACUACAGGCCCACAAAACGAACAACUGUUAACAUGGAUAUCUUGGUUCUC
rnacentral:misc_RNA from 1 species